rnacentral:rRNA from 1 species
AUGCUUGUCUCAAAGAUUAAGCCAUGCAUGUCUAAGUAUAAACAACUUUAUACUGUAAAACUGCGAACGGCUCAUUACAUCAGCAAUAAUUUAUUUGAUGAUUUCUUACUACAUGGAUAACUGUAGUAAUUCUAGAGCUAAUACAUGCGCAAAGUCCUGACUCGCGAGGGGAGGGAUGUAUUUAUUAGAUACAAAACCAAUGCGGGUUCUGCCCGCCAUUGUGUUGAAUCAUAGUAACUUAUCGAACGCCAUAGCCUUGUGCUGGGCGUAGAUCAUUCAAAUUUCUGCCCUAUCAACUUUCGAUGGUAAGGUAUUGGCUUACCAUGGUUACAACGGGUAACGGGGAAUA